GUGGCGUCGUGUGUUUUGUAGUGCGCAUCUGUACCGGGGUCUGUGCUUUUUUGAACACUCAUUCAUAGUCAAUAUGAAUCAGGACUGUCGACGCCCUAGCAUUAGUCUGAUCCCAACGGCUCUGCAGGACUGUCCGCCUCCGGCGCCACCAGUGUCCUGCAGCAUCACUUCUCUUUAUUGUCUUCGUCACGGCUUCCUCCACGCCGUCUGGUCGUGAGGACAGGAGUCAGGGCUCUGCACGAACCACUGAGGCUGGUCGCUCAAGAUUGGGAUCACUGCACCUUCAAGCGUAAAUAGUAGUGAGCGUCUGAUUCUGAUUGGUGGAUGACUGACCAUUGUGUCCCAUGAUUGGCGGUAGUUGGUGAAGGAGAUGUCAGCAAUCUGAGCCAGGAGCUGCCAGACUCUUAGCGCCGUCAUGUUGAGCACCUCUCCGAUGGCCACAGGACAGGCAGGGUGGCGCGCCCUACACCCAGCUGGGUCACCCUCCGUCACUCCCCCGCGAGCUGCCCUCACGUACCGCCAGAACCUGUUGUGCUCGUCCUCCUCUACAUCGCCAUGCUGAGGACUGGUGAGGCAGAUUGUGUCAGAAGAGAAAGGAAAGUAUGACAUGAAGGGAAAAACGUAAAACACUUGAAGGAAAAUAUAAAAGUACUCUAGUUUUAUUUUUGUUUGAGCGAACGACACCUGACUAAGGAAGGACUAUGAAAGGAAAAUAUGUAAAAACUGCACUCUUAAUCCCGGUGUAUAUUUGUAUGGAGGGAAUCCAAAGGCACCUGACAAAAGAAGAGGUUUGAAAACAAGAUAUCUUAAAAUAACACUCUUACUCAUUGCGAA